UUGUCAAAUUAUAUGUUACUGUUGCUCCCGCCAUGGAUAUUUCUGACCUUCCUACUCCGGCAUUGAUCGUGUACAUUGACAAAGUUAAAAAGAAUAUAAAAGAUAUGGAAAAAAGGUCUAAGAAAUAUGGCGUUAGACUUCGGCCCCAUUUCAAAACUUCAAAAGUUGUAAAAGUAGCCGAACUCCAAACUGCUGGAUCAAAACGUGGUCUUGUGGUUUCAACUCUUCCUGAAGCAGAAGCUCUGGCUGAAAAUGGUUUUGAUGAUAUAUUGUAUGCUGUCCCCUUGAUAAAUGAUCCCGACAAGAUCAAAAGAUGCAAAGCUUUAUCUGAAAAACUGUCAGAAUUCCAUGUGAUGAUAGACACAAUUGACACUGCCAAUUUACUUGUCAGUACUAAUUUACUAAAUGGAAAGAAAUGGUCCAUUUUUCUAUUGACGGAUUGUGGAUAUCACAGAGCUGGUGCAUUGCAUGACUCGAGCAAACUCAUAGAGCUUGCUAAACUACUCCAUAAGAGUGAGAAAAUCCAGUUUCAAGGUCUCUAUACCCAUUGUGGACAUUCCUAUCAUCUUAAUGCAGACAAGACUGUCAAAAAUGUGGCUGAUGAAGUUGUGACCAACUUACUUGCAACAGUGGAAAGAUUGAAAACCCUUGGUAUACAAUGCAAGCAUUAUGGACUUGGUUCAACACCAACAUGUAGUCAACCUACUGAAAUGAUGAGAAAAGUUACAGAGUGGCAUCCUGGAAACUAUGUCUUUUAUGAUGUUCAACAAGAAAUGCUUGAUUCCUGUGAGAGAAGUGACAUAGCCUGUAUGGUGGCAACCAGAAUCAUUGGCCAUUAUAGCAGUAAAGGCUUCAGUCACAUGGUAGUAGAUUGCGGAUUCACUGCAUUGACCCAACAAGGUUACGGAAAAGUGCCUUCUGGAGGUUAUGGGGCAAUUUUGAAUCAUUCUGAGCUGAAGUUGGAAAACCUGACACAGGAGGUUGGAAAGAUAACAAAUGUUGAUGGAACUUCUAUUGAUUUUGCUAAAUACCCUAUUGGGUCCAUGCUAUUCAUACUGCCUUAUCAUUCAUGUGCAACAUGUGCUAUGCACCCUGUUUACUAUGUGGCAGACAAUGAAGGAAAAAUAGUUGACAAAUGGUUUCCAGUCAGAGGAUGGUAAAAUUCUAAUUGUUGCUUAAUAAAAAGUGCCUAUGGUUUGUGUAUAAGAUGUAAAGCAGUGCAUUGUUGACGUUUUUAGUUUUGUUUUAUACAUAACUUGGUGCUUAAGUUUUAUACAUAAUAUUUAAUCACCUCUUGGCUUGCUAGUUACUGAUUAGCAAUUUAUAUUACUUGUAAUGUAUACCUAUUUCUACAGUUCAUCUAUGAAAUGUGUCAAUUAUUUUUGGUGCUUUUUUGGUUAAAAAACUUUUAAUCAUAUUACUUGCUGUUUGUCAACUUCCAAAAGUUAGGGUUAGGCAAGUUUUCCUUCAAAUUUGACAGUUCAUAAUAAUAUAUGUAUAGUGUUUAAUUUUAAUCAAAUACCGAUUUAGAUGAGCCUUCUCAACCUUUCAGUAAUCAGUAGUUUAUUUUCUCACCAUACUAAAUGCACACUUGAUAUACAAAUUGCAAUAAAUAAAUAAAAGGCAUUUCAGGGUGAGGGGAGCUGCGAGAAACCAAAUUUGGUUAUCGAGCAGCGGCACCCAUAAGCAAGUCUAACGAGGAAAUAAUAACAAAAAAAAGUCGAACUGUGUAUAUACAGUAUCAUAUAUACAUUAAUUUGAAAAUAAAUAUAAAUACGUCAAGGCAUUCCAACCAGGUAUGCCCAGUAAUCUCGCGUUUCAACAACAACAAAACAAGAAACGACUCCGUGCACCAAUUAUUUAAGUAGCCAUGACGAUAGCUGCUUUGAGGUAAAGUCACAAUGGUACCAUUGUAAGGUGACUGUGGUCGUAUGUAGAACAUUGUAUGGUGCAGGGCUACAGUUGUUUAGGUAUCAAUGGUAAAAAUGAAGUUUCACGAACAGGAAGCCUACCAGUAGUAUGGUAUGCAUGCAACGGUAGUACCGGUAGUCAUAAAUAAUUUAACCUUUUAUGGUAAGAAAAUUGAACUUCAGUGUGUAACUGGAAGGCACAUGAUCAAUGAAUAAAUGGUAUUCUACAAGAUCAAGGUAGGAUUAAAUUUCAUGUGGAACUAACCACUUCAUACAGAACAUGGAAAAAGCAAAGUGGGUCAAGCAGAGAUGAAUCAAAUAUCUUUCAGUACCGACCGCCGUCGCGUGAGGACGUGGCUACCUCGAGCCGAAGAUAUGCAUUCGAGAAGUGAAUCCCAGACUUAGUGACAUCAAUAAACAAAUAACAGAAAUAGCAGAUUUUUUAAUGAUGAACUGGAAAUGUGCAAAAUGGAAGAUUUUGUGAUGGACGAAAUUAUGCUCUGCUCAAAUAUGGAGAAGACCGGAUAUACAAAUGUUAAACCGUAAAUAUAUACUACUACGGUUAAACUGCACGAACUGAUAUUAGAAAAUUCACAAUCGAUUUUUACAUUGGUGUGUUAACGUUUUAGUAGAUUUUACAAGAUAUAUGUUUGAGCAUGGAACGGAAACAUGCAUUCGCACCUCCAACUAGGAUUUUUCGGACUGUUUGUUUACAUGCCGCAUCACACGCACAGCGGAUAUUUAAUUCACUUUUUUGUUUUUGAAAAGAUUGCACGCAACCUGAUUAUCAAGUGAAACGCCUGAGUAAUGACUGCCGUCAAUAUUCAUGUUUGUGUUUGUGACUCAUUUCUUUCUUCUUUGGUACUCUGGAUCAAGUCGACAGUGGAGCUGGCAAUGGCGAAGAAAGUUCUGGAUCCACUUUAAUCGGAUGAAAAGGCUUGUGUCUCCCUUUUAGAGGCUUUCAGUACUCAUGUCCCUCUCUUUAUUAUUCCAGUGGUAUUUAUAGUGUCAUUUGAUUCAUAGAUUCAAAAUCCCAUUACCGGUAUGUUCAAAGAAUUCAUGCUCAACAAAGUGAACAAAAGCCUGUGAAAUAACCUUAUCAAGUAAUGAAACUAGGAAGAAUGGGGUCUUUUCUUGUAAAGGGGAAAAUGAAAUCAGUUUUGCACCUAGCAUUGUCACCCCACUCCAACUGAUCUUUGGCCCCUUUGUGUGGCCGGACCCUCUGUUGCGAACCACUUACAGAUUUUCCACUGUUAAUAAACUUGCUGAACUUGAAGAUCAUUUUGUUUUGCCAGUGUUAGGUUUGCUUUUAUGUAUAUUUACAGUUUGUGCAAUCAAACAAUAAAUGGUAAUCAAACUAUUCAACUAAUCCUUGAGUUCCUGAAAUGUUUAUAACCAAUUGCUUUAGUUCUAGAUUCUUGUUAUUUGGGGGUACUUGAGUACUUCCACCAAAAAUAUCCGCCUUUUGUAUGUAUGCACCAUAGCUUGAUCUAUCUUAAAUAUGUGGAAUAGAUCUACUU